UACUGGUUAUCUCGCAAUUGUACUCUGUGAACCCCGCCAGGACCGGAAGGUAGCAACGGUAGCAGAUCUGCGAUGUGCCGAGUUUUUGCUAGUAGGA
rfam:Acinetobacter nectaris CIP 110549 genomic scaffold adgTG-supercont2.1, whole genome shotgun sequence.